rnacentral:rRNA from 1 species
GGKGUUGUUGUGAGAAGUUCAUUAAACCUUAUCAUUUAGAGGAAGGAGAAGUCGUAACAAGGUUUCCGUAGGUGAACCUGCGGAAGGAUCAUUGAACACACSAUCUCGGAAAAACUUUGCGAACCGUUGAUGUACCCCGAGGGAUCGUGUCCGGAGGCACGAUAGUCGAUGCGGGAGUCCGGAUUCAUGUGCACUCGCCGUGAUCCUUCCCGCUGGUGCGCGGUGGGAUUCAAAGCGACUCCAAUCUCAUCGGCGGACUGCCCCCCUGUCACGCAUGAGUUCGGAUUCUCUCUCGGGAGAUCCGAAUUCGGGGCGGUCCCCUCCUCCUUUGGAGGGAGAGUCCCGAUCCGGAGUCUCCUCUCGGCCGCACAAGGCAGCGGGGGAGUUUCGGGGCGGAUCGCUCUCUCUCCGGAGGGGCCCUUUUUUCUCUCUCGAGAAACACUUGUGAACCGAAUAAAGGAUGGAUGGAACCGGGAGGACUCGGAUUCGUCUUGACGAUUCCGAGUCCUCUUGGGACAAGUGRGUCAAACACAAAUGACUCUCAGCAACGGAUAUCUUGGCUCUUGCAACGAUGAAGAACGCAGCGAAAUGCGAUACCUAGUGUGAAUUGCAGAAUUCCGCGAAUCAUCGAGUUUUUGAACGCAAGUUGCGCCCGAAGCUCGUCUUAGGGCAUGCCUGCCUGAGCGUCCUUUCCGACCCACCCACUAGCCUUCCUCUCUCGCGGGGGGAGGGCAAGAGUGCGAGUGGAAUUGGUCGUCCGGGAACCCGGCCGUCUCUAAGGCGGUCCGAGGAUUCGCGGUUGGCUGAAAAAUGCGAGCCGUCCGUCAAGCGCGCGCCGGGGGAACGGUGCGUUGCGAGAAGGUGGCGUUUGCCUCGAUCGUCUUCGGACGGCUCGAGGCGGACGGUUACAAAGCUUAGUGCCUCCCCCCGAGUCGGGACUUGACGGAACGGUGACAAUCAUGGGAGCGGGAGGAUYCGGGAUCGACAAGGUCCCGGAUCCGAACGCUGCGUUGCUCGGACCUCAGAUCAGGCAAGACCACCCGCUGAGUUUAAGCAUAUCACUAAGCGGAGGAAAAGAAACUAACAAGGAUUC